GGUGGCUCAGUGGUAGAGUGCUUGUCUUGUGUGCAUGAGGUCCUGGGUUUGAUUCCUCAGCACCA
rnacentral:tRNA from 1 species